GUAGGGAAUAUUGGGCAAUGGACGCAAGUCUGACCCAGCCAUGCCGCGUGAAGGAUGAAAGCCCUAUGGGUUGUAAACUUCUUUUAUACGGGAAAAAAACUUCGAUUUCGUAUCGGAGCUGAUGGUACCGUAAGAAUAAGGAUCGGCUAACUCCGUGCCAGCAGCCGCGGUAAUACGGAGGAUCCGAGCGUUAUCCGGAUUUAUUGGGUUUAAAGGGUGCGCAGGCGGGACGAUAAGUCAGUGGUGAAAUCCUACAGCUCAACUGUAGAAUUGCCUUUGAUACUGUCGUUCUUGAGUAUAUUUGAAGUGGGCGGAAUGUGUCAUGUAGCGGUGAAAUGCUUAGAGAUGACACAGAACACCGAUUGCGAAGGCAGCUCGCUAAACUAUAACUGACGCUCAUUGCACGAAAGCGUGGGGAUCAAACAGGAUUAGAAACCCCGGUAGUCC
rnacentral:rRNA from 1 species